rnacentral:rRNA from 1 species
AGGGUUCGAUCCUGGCUCAGGACGAACGCUGGCGGCGUGCUUAACACAUGCAAGUCGAGCGGGGAUCUCGUUGGAAGUCCUUCGGGACGGAAGACGAGAUUCUAGCGGCGGACGGGUGAGUAACGCGUGAGCAAUCUGUCCCAGACAGGGGGAUAACACUUGGAAACAGGUGCUAAUACCGCAUAAGACCACGGGCCCGCAUGGGCUUGAGGUAAAAGGAGCGAUCCGGUUUGGGGUGAGCUCGCGUCCCAUUAGCUAGUUGGCGAGGUAACGGCCCACCAAGGCGACGAUGGGUAGCCGACCUGAGAGGGUGAACGGCCACAUUGGAACUGAGACACGGUCCAG